CCUCACGCACAGGGAUCUGGCCUCCUCGCUGGGCAAAGGAGGGCGGAGAGGACGCGCACUUCCUGAGCUGGGGCGACACUUGACCGUGGAUGGACUUCAAAAAAGAGCAAAAGGAGAAUUGCACCUGAGUGCCGGGCCAGCUGGCGCAUCUCACGUUCAGGGUUUUCUGCUGGCCGGGGUGGAGGACUUCACAGAGAGGACUGGGGGACUUCACGUGGCUGCUGUCACUGGUUGCAGGGGACCAUGGGGAAGUGCAGUGCAGCUCUGGUUGAUGUGCACAGGAAAUGCAACGAAGCAGGUCCUUUAUGAGCACUGUAGCUCCACCGCCCUGCAGAAUGUGAAAAUUCUACUUUUGUAACAAGCUCUUAGGUCACGAGCUGCCAGUGCUGGCACAGCCCACUCAGCGCAGCAAGCAGUAGCCCAGGUCCCUCAGUUCUCUCCACACAAAGGAAAGUGGAAGCAGGGUGGGUGUCACACUGGAUGCUGAGUGUCCCCAGGGCUCCUAGAUGGGGGACUGUGGCUCCCGGGGUGGUGACUGGGAGGAGGCGGCCCCUCUGGAAGGUGGGGAGACUGUGGGACCUGGGCAGUCACUCUCUGCUUCCCCCGGCAGGACGUUAGUGGUUUGCUCUGCCGCACACACUGUGCCCUUCUUGCGGAAGGUCCACAGGAAUGAGUUGCCUGGUGCUGGACUGGAACCUAGAGCACCCUCAUCCAAAACAAACCAUUUUCCUUAGUGAAUUGAUUGUCUCAGUCCUUGCCAGGAUCCCUCAAAGCAGGGAUUCUCGUUGUCCUUUGCACAAGAGGAAACUGACACAUCUACUGGAGCACCUAAGGAAUUUAUUCAAGCUCCAAAGCAGGAAGGGGCUGAGGUGAGAUGUUGACUGAGUAGUCAGUCCUCGGAGCCCAGGCUGCCUCAGGUGCUGCAAGGCCUAAAGUGCUGUUUCUGACUACAAUUUUAUUUUUGUUGGCUUUUCUUUAGUCACACUUUGUAGUGCAGUAGGAGCUCUCUGUGUUUUGCGAUAGCAGCGGGAGAAGCGUGCCGUUCAGUAAUGCAAGUGUGGUUGAACUGUGUGGGGUUUUCUUGCUUUUUAAUUUUUCUCCCUAUUUUAUGGGAAAGGAUAUUAUUCUUUUUUUUUUUUUUGUUUUG